rnacentral:tRNA from 1 species
AUUUAAAUAGUUUAAUUAAAAAUAUUGAUUUGUGAAUUCAAUGAUAUAUAGAAAUAUUUUAGAUA